rnacentral:miRNA from 1 species
GCAGGCAGGAGGACGGAGAUGAGUCAUGGGGUUUUCUUAGAUGUUUGGUCUCCCUCUUCCUACAG